GUCGGUUGUCAGUAAGGUUCUAAUCCUUAAGUGGGUCAAUAUCACUAUGUACAUUUAAAUUCAGUUUCUUUCAUAUCUAUUAAGUAUAACGUUUUUCACACUAUAGAAUAAUCAUUACAUAUAUUAAACAAGAAGUUAGUUUCACUAUAAUUUUUGUUCUUUUUGGCCUGUUUGUUUGCAUACUCAACUCUUUGGUGGUUGGAUGGAC
rnacentral:lncRNA from 1 species